rnacentral:rRNA from 1 species
GGGUUGUGAGGUUAAGCGACUAAGCGUACACGGUGGAUGCCCUGGCAGUCAGAGGCGAUGAAGGACGUGCUAAUCUGCGAAAAGCGUCGGUAAGGUGAUAUGAACCGUUACAGCCGGCGAUGUCCGAAUGGGGAAACCCAGUGCAAUUCGUUGCACUAUCGUUAACUGAAUACAUAGGUUAACGAGGCGAACCGGGGGAACUGAAACAUCUAAGUACCCCGAGGAAAAGAAAUCAACCGAGAUUCCCCAGUAGCGGCGAGCGAACGGGGAGCAGCCCAGAGUCUGAAUCAGCUUGUGUGUUAGUGGAACGGUCUGGAAAGUCCGACGGUACAGGGUGAUAGUCCCGUACACCAAAAUGCACAGGUUGUGAACUCGAAGAGUAGGGCGGGACACGUGGUAUCCUGUCUGAAUAUGGGGGACCAUCCUCCAAGGCUAAAUACUCCUGACUGACCGAUAGUGAACCAGUACCGUGAGGGAAAGGCGAAAAGAACCCCGGCGAGGGGAGUGAAAAAGAACCUGAAACCGUGUACGUACAAGCAGUGGGAGCACCUUCGGGUGUGACUGCGUACCUUUUGUAUAAUGGGUCAGCGACUUAUAUUCUGUAGCAAGGUUAACCGUAUAGGGGAGCCGCAGGGAAACCGAGUCUUAACUGGGCGUUAAGUUGCAGGGUAUAGACCCGAAACCCGGUGAUCUAGCCAUGGGCAGGUUGAAGGUUGGGUAACACUAACUGGAGGACCGAACCGACUAAUGUUGAAAAAUUAGCGGAUGACUUGUGGCUGGGGGUGAAAGGCCAAUCAAACCGGGAGAUAGCUGGUUCUCCCCGAAAGCUAUUUAGGUAGCGCCUCGUGAACUCAUCUUCGGGGGUAGAGCACUGUUUCGGCUAGGGGGUCAUCCCGACUUACCAACCCGAUGCAAACUACGAAUACCGAAGAAUGUUAUCACGGGAGACACACGGCGGGUGCUAACGUCCGUCGUGAAGAGGGAAACAACCCAGACCGCCAGCUAAGGUCCCAAAGUCAUGGUUAAGUGGGAAACGAUGUGGGAAGGCACAGACAGCCAGGAUGUUGGCUUAGAAGCAGCCAUCAUUUAAAGAAAGCGUAAUAGCUCACUGGUCGAGUCGGCCUGCGCGGAAGAUGUAACGGGGCUAAACCAUGCACCGAAGCUGCGGCAGCGACACUAUGUGUUGUUGGGUAGGGGAGCGUUCUGUAAGCCUGCGAAGGUGUGCUGUGAGGCAUGCUGGAGGUAUCAGAAGUGCGAAUGCUGACAUAAGUAACGAUAAAGCGGGUGAAAAGCCCGCUCGCCGGAAGACCAAGGGUUCCUGUCCAACGUUAAUCGGGGCAGGGUGAGUCGACCCCUAAGGCGAGGCCGAAAGGCGUAGUCGAUGGGAAACAGGUUAAUAUUCCUGUACUUGGUGUUACUGCGAAGGGGGGACGGAGAAGGCUAUGUUAGCCGGGCGACGGUUGUCCCGGUUUAAGCAUGUAGGCUGGUUAUCCAGGCAAAUCCGGAUAAUCAAGGCUGAGGUGUGAUGACGAGGCACUACGGUGCUGAAGUAACAAAUGCCCUGCUUCCAGGAAAAGCCUCUAAGCAUCAGGUAACAUCAAAUCGUACCCCAAACCGACACAGGUGGUCAGGUAGAGAAUACCAAGGCGCUUGAGAGAACUCGGGUGAAGGAACUAGGCAAAAUGGUGCCGUAACUUCGGGAGAAGGCACGCUGGUGUGUAGGUGAAGUCCCUGCGGAUGGAGCUGAGACCAGUCGAAGAUACCAGCUGGCUGCAACUGUUUAUUAAAAACACAGCACUGUGCAAACACGAAAGUGGACGUAUACGGUGUGACGCCUGCCCGGUGCCGGAAGGUUAAUUGAUGGGGUUAUCCGUAAGGAGAAGCUCUUGAUCGAAGCCCCGGUAAACGGCGGCCGUAACUAUAACGGUCCUAAGGUAGCGAAAUUCCUUGUCGGGUAAGUUCCGACCUGCACGAAUGGCGUAAUGAUGGCCAGGCUGUCUCCACCCGAGACUCAGUGAAAUUGAACUCGCUGUGAAGAUGCAGUGUACCCGCGGCAAGACGGAAAGACCCCGUGAACCUUUACUAUAGCUUGACACUGAACAUUGAGCCUUGAUGUGUAGGAUAGGUGGGAGGCUUUGAAGCGUGGACGCCAGUCUGCGUGGAGCCAACCUUGAAAUACCACCCUUUAAUGUUUGAUGUUCUAACGUUGGCCCCUGACCGGGGUUGCGGACAGUGUCUGGUGGGUAGUUUGACUGGGGCGGUCUCCUCCCAAAGCGUAACGGAGGAGCACGAAGGUUAGCUAAUCCUGGUCGGACAUCAGGAGGUUAGUGCAAUGGCAUAAGCUAGCUUGACUGCGAGCGUGACGGCGCGAGCAGGUGCGAAAGCAGGUCAUAGUGAUCCGGUGGUUCUGAAUGGAAGGGCCAUCGCUCAACGGAUAAAAGGUACUCCGGGGAUAACAGGCUGAUACCGCCCAAGAGUUCAUAUCGACGGCGGUGUUUGGCACCUCGAUGUCGGCUCAUCACAUCCUGGGGCUGAAGUAGGUCCCAAGGGUAUGGCUGUUCGCCAUUUAAAGUGGUACGCGAGCUGGGUUUAGAACGUCGUGAGACAGUUCGGUCCCUAUCUGCCGUGGGCGCUGGAGAAUUGAGGGGGCUGCUCCUAGUACGAGAGGACCGGAGUGGACGCAUCACUGGUGUUCGGGUUGUCAUGCCAAUGGCACUGCCCGGUAGCUAAAUGCGGAAGAGAUAAGUGCUGAAAGCAUCUAAGCACGAAACUUGCCCCGAGAUGAGUUCUCCCUGAGACUAUAAGUCUCCUGAAGGAACGUUAAAGACGAUGACGUUGAUAGGCCGGGUGUGUAAGCGCAGCGAUGCGUUGAGCUAACCGGUACUAAUGAACCGUGAGGCUUAACCUUACAACGCCGAAG